AGGGCUCUAUUUUGGUGCUUCGCCGGAGAUCUGCCGCAAGCGCAGCGUCAAUCAGAUCCGCCGCGCUGACAAGGCGUUCCCAAGCACAUUUUGGUAUUUUGGUGAGCCGCGCAGCCCGGCGUAAGUAUCCCCCCUCCCUAACUCAGCUCCUCCCGGCAGCAUAAAUCAUAGAAGGGGAGGAGAGAGGGCGUAUAGGGGUUUAACACAGCCGAGACCUGUUUUUACCAAUCACAUAGGCUCCUUUCCUUGCCUUUAAAUCCGCCACAGGCGAGGCGUAUUACUAUUUUCAUGAAGUAAUCAAAGAGAUCAAGAGAUGUCUUAAGACAGUAAUGCCACAAGAUGGCGACAGAGGGCAGCUCCUCAACAAGUGUCCUCCACACUCUCUCAUAUGAGCACAGAUGGAUUUAGUGUGCGUAAUGUUGGACCCAGUGGUAAGACAAACACCCUUUUCCACAAAUAAAGACACUCACAUAAAGUUGCUCAUAUUCAAACCUCACGUGACAAAGGUCGGUUGAGCGCACAGAUCACAACAUAAACUCCAAAAAUGGCAUUAAAAUCGGAACCAUCUGUGCGUAAAUGACGCAUCGCGCUCCGUGGCCUGGCUCUUUCUUUCAUAGAUGUUGGCAUAUAAAAUAAAUUUGGCUCACAAAACUGAAUAUUAUAAUAUCCGUAUGUCGGCUUAAAGUAGAUAACGCAUCUGAGCACUGAAACAAAUCAUCUGUUCAGCCGCAGCAGCAAGCAAGACGGACAGAGGACACGGAGACGUGUCCAGGUCGAGCUGUGCGAGAAAUAAGAGGAAGAGGAAGAAAGAAAAGGAGGGAGACGAAUUACAUAUCGAGUUAACUUCAUCAUGUGUGAAUAUUUACUAGAUAUUUAAUUUAAUUUGAUGCGGUUUCAGCUGUGUUGAUUCGGUCAGGUUGUGUGUCCAAACGCGUGCCAAACGCGCUCAUCAGAUCAGAUAUAGAUCAGAAUAUAUCUAUAUAGAUCCAAAUGUAUGUGCUGACUCACAUUAAUAGUUGAUGAUGAUUAUUUAUUGCACUGAAAUGUGCCUGACACUGUGGAAACCUGCCGGUGAGGCAUCAGUGACGUAUGACGAUACGCCGCCGGUCUACCAAAAUACUACUGGACCAGCUGCGUUCCGCCUUGCGCUGAAAGCUGACCAGGUUUGAAUCGGCGAGCUUUCAGCGCACUUUACACGCCGGUGGCGAGCACGAAAAUGUCACUGCGCCUGCUGAUUCUGUCGACACCUCCCCCUGCCACACCACCACGCCCAGCUUGGCGGAUCUCGGCUCGCCUCCGUGCGGCUCAUGCCACGAAAAUACCAAAUUGGCCUUACGCUGGGCUCCGCCAGACGAAAAUACAACUGCGCGGGGCUCGCCGCCCUCCGCCGCCUCACCGGCGCGAACGAAAAUAGAGCCCCAAGUGUGUGGCGUUUUGAAGGAGUGAUAUCCCAUCCUUGCUUGGAAUAGAAUUACAACUAAACAGUUGAGGAUCUUUUUUGUCAUAUUUUUGUUUUAUGGUGCGCCAAAUGUAUUUUUACAGGUAACUGUUUGAGACCCAGACUCUUUCCACACUGUAGGCAAAAGCAAGGUUUUAAGUUGCCAGAAUGAAAUGGCUGAAUGAAAAGACCUACAAAAGGCAGUUGUGGGCAGGCAGUGAAAGUGCAAUGUAGAGGCAGAGAAAGAGAGGGAACAGGAAGGAGAGGGGGGAAGACAAAGGACAAGCAAAAAACUAAAGCUAUAUAAAAAAACAAGUUCACCCCUCAGGGGGUAGUGAGGGUACUGAGAGAGGGUCUGCUCACUCAGAAAUCCUCGAAGGCAAAAUGCUGUCUAAUCACUGUACCAGCUGUCUUACAGUGCCAUGAGAAAGUUUGGGCACCCUGUCUGAGGUUGUAUAAUAAUUGACUCUGUCUCCACAGAAAAUAAUCCUAGUGUCAUGUCCUUCAUUUGCCCAUCAGAGCCAAGUGUUGGGUUGUUUUGCAGACUCUGAUUUUAAGUAUUGGUGGUAUUCUUUUGUAUGAAAUUAAAUCAAAUGUGAAAAAUAGGCUGUGCAAAAAUGUGGGAACCCUUGACAUUUUCUUGCUUUGAAGACCUGUAACUAAUCAUCACAGAGUAAUUGGAAACACCAAGUUGGUCAGGUGAGCUCAUUAAGCCUUGAACUUAAUAGGCAGGUGCAUCCAAUCAUUACAAAGGCUAUUUAAGGUGACCAAAUGCCAGUUCUUUUUCUCUUUGACUCUCCUCUGAAGAGCUGCAAGAUGGGGGCCUCAAAACAACUUUCAAAUGACCUCAAAACCAAGAUUAUCCAGCAGUAUGGUUUAGGGGAAGGCUACAAAAAACUUUCCAAAAGAUUUCAGCUGUCAGUGUUUACCGUGAGGAACAUUGUAAGAAAGUGGAAAGCCACAGGCACAGUCCUUGUCAAGGCCAGAAGUGGUAGGCCAAGUAAAAUUUCAGCGAGGCAAAGACGAAGGAUGGUGAGAAUGGUUAAAGACAACCCACAGACCACCACCAGAGACUUGCAGAGUGAUCUAGCUGCAGCUGGGGUCACUGUGCACAGGUCAACAAUACAGCGCAAUUUGCAUAAGGAAAUGCUGUAUGGCAGAGUGAUGCGUAAGAAGCCCUUUCUUCACAGUCGCCACAAAUUGAGUCGCUUGAACUAUGCAAAAGCACAUUUGGACAAGCCAGCAUCCUUUUGGAAUAAGAUCCUUUGGACUGACGAAACAAAAAUCGAAUUAUUUGGUCACAACAAGAGGCGAUACACAUGGCGAAAAAAGAACACAGAAUUCCAAGAAAAACAUCUGCUACCCACAGUGAAAUUUGGUGGAGGUUCCAUCAUGUUGUGGGGCUGUGUGGCGAGUACUGGUACUGGGAACCUUGUUAAAAUUGACGGUCGCAUGGAUUCCACUCAGUAUCAGCAAAUUCUUGAAAAUAAUGUGCAGGAGUCCGUCACAAAGCUGAAGUUGCGCCGGGGAUGGAUGUUUCAACAAGACAAUGACCCUAAACAUUGUUCAAAAUCCACUCUGGCAUACAUGCAGAGGAACAAGUACAGUGUUUUAGAAUGGCCAUCCCAGUCCCCAGAUUUGAAUAUCAUUGAAAAUCUGUGGGAUGAGUUGAAGCAAGCCGUCCAUGCUCGUGGACCUUCAAACCUCAAUGAAUUAGAGCUGUUUUGCAAGGAGGAGUGGGCCAAGAUGCCUUUAUCCAGGAUCCAGACACUCAUUAGUGGCUAUAGAAAGCGUCUAGAGGCUGUGAUUUCUGCAAAAGGAGGCUCUACUAAAUAUUGAUGUGAUGUUUCUGUUAAGGUGCCCAAAUGUAUGCAUGGGCCUAUUUUUGCUUUGGUGCAUAUUGCACAUUUUCUGUUAGCCCAAUAAACUUUACUUCAAUGCUGAAAUAUUAUUGGGUCUAUGAGUUAUUUCAUAUAUCAAAAGUAAGUUGUGGAAUCAAACACCCAAUGAUUGAUGAAUGAAAAUACUGGGAUUUGUCAAGGGUGCCCAAACUUUCUCAUGGCACUGUAUGUGAAAGCACCUAUUCUGCGUUUUGUUGAACACUCUCUUUGCCUGAAAUUAGUUUUUAAAUUGCAUUAGCUCUUGUUGUAGCUAUUUGUCCCAGGAGUAAAGACUAAAGAAGGCAGCAGUGCAGUGCAGUGAACAACAACAGACAGCCCGGCUAUGACAGAACGCAGCCAAGUGUUUUUUUUUUUCAGUGUUGGAUGUAAAACAAGCAUGUUUGCUCUGUAACUUUUCCAGGAUCGAUAAAAGUUUAGAAGACUUUAAAAGUGUGCAGUGUCAUCUGAAAAACAAACAUCCCAGAAACACUGUGAGGUUCAGUUCCAAGCUCAAAGAGUGCUUACAUUUUGGCCAGCAGAUUGAAGUUAAUUUUUUUUGGUUUGUUUUUUUAAAAGUGGGUGUCAUUCGUUUUCUCUCACACACAUACACACACAAGCUGCUUCAUCUGUCUAACCCAAUAGGGAUCAGGUUGUCUAACAUCAUGGAUCAUUUUGGAUAAAUAAAUUUGCUCUCCAACUUCCUCCCUACUCAAUUCUGUCUCUGUACACACACAUACACACUACAGGCCUGUGCAAAUCGUUGGCACCCGCUGCCUGUAAUGUAAUAUCCUAACAAUUAGCAAUUAGACACCAUACAGCAGCGGUGCAUUAAAUUUAUGCGUCUAUCCACGCCUUUUGCAGAUGCGAUGGUGCUUGGUGUCACUGGGAAAUUUUAUCACUGCUUAGGUAAUGGAAGCAGGGAGGGGUGGGGUCUGAAAGAUUGUGUUGUCAGGGCUUCCUGACGGAUGAUCAGAGAUUUCCCUCGUCUUUACGUAUCCCACCCUCAACCACCACCCCCACUCCCACUCUUCCUCUCCACUUUCAGCUUAAUGAGCUUAUUGGUAUUACAGUUCACAAACAAUAUCGCGGAGGCAAUUAGAUACAAUUGAUGUACGAUUUAGACAAUGAUUAGACUCUGUGUGAAUGUGGGUGUGCAUGUUAAAGAGAAAACAAGGAGGAGAUAGCAAAUUGAAAGGUUGUGUGUUUAUAAAUAGGUUCUAUCUGAGAUGUCUUUGAUCCUCGGGGGGAACUAAAUGUGUUUUACAUUUAAGAUUGGUCAGAGGAUAUUGGGUUCUCAGUAUUAACAGGUGCAGCAUUGGUACACUCUAAAAACUCUUGGGUUAUUUCUCCAACCCAAUUCCUGGGUUAUACGUGUUGAGUUAAAUUUCUGGUUUAUUUUUCAGAUCUAUAUACAUUUCUUGGGUCAUAUGGAUUCUAUUGUACCCAAUUGAGGGUUUUUUGAAUGGGUUAACAAUUAUGGGUUAUUUCUCUGAGAGUAACCCAAUAAUUGGGUCAGAACGUAGGGUUCGAUUGACUGUACAUGAUUUCUAGGCCAAGACCCUUAGCCCAAUGGCCUACAAUCAGUUUGAUUAAAGAACAUGGGAAAAUAAGGUACAGGUUGUAAAAGCAAAGCUCCCAAAAAAAAGCUCCCCAAAUGCAUAUAUCAAUUUAACCCAAGAUCAUUCAAAUUACCUCAAACAUUGGGUUAACUUGACCCUUAAAAAGGGUUAUUGAGUCAACCCAAAAUUUGGGUUAAUUUGAAUAACCCAACAUUCCAGGUCAAAAUAACCCAAUAAGUAGUCGGUCCCUUUUCAACCCUGGUUUUUAGAGUGUAGUUUGAGCCUAUAAUACUGUGGUAGAUGAAUAUUCAUAGUUGGUAUUUUUUCAGUUUAAAGUGGUCAGCCGGUCUGUUCUUGACGGUAGAUAAUGCCGAAGUUUGCAAACAGCCAUAGUUUACUGAUCGUGUUUCCAUUGGUUAUUAUUUUGUUGGCAUAGGUACAAUGUGUUAAAGUGGAUUCAUAUUUUAUAUCUCUAAGAGAGUGAUAGUAUUUGUUAUGUCAGCACAGUACAACUUAAACAGUGAUUUUAACUCAAAUUCAUCAUUGACAAGAACAAAAACCCCAAAUUGUAGUUUUGUCCUUGACUCAGCUUGUGUUUAUUUUUGCUCAGAGUCUGUGAGGCUGUCAAUUUAACCAACAAGGGAUGUAAAUGAGGUUUUUUUUUUCAGCUUUGUUGUUCUAGCCUGGAGGCUUUGAUGAAUUGUAGGUUUAUGUGAAAUGUUUGUCAUUAAUGGUGAUAACAAUGCUCUUUUGAAUGAGUUAAACAAGUGAAUGCCUUAUCAGUAUUGGUUAGCCAUCUAUUUUUUCAACCUCUUUCUUUGAGCCAAAUACUUUGGCUCAUUUUAAUCCAACUUUACCAAAGCUCUAGCCCUGUCUCUUUCUGCUUUGGUGCUGAGACUUGGCAAAUUAUUGGAGUGCAGUCAGUGACACAAUCAAAAACAGCAUGAAAAAGUCAAAGGCAGAUCUGAAAAAGAGGGGGGAAACAUCCUUUGAAGCAAAGUUUUUGAGAAAACCAAAUUAUUCACUCGACACUUUUACCUUAGUCAAUAACAUGAGCCUCGCUCACAGGAAGGCACUGGCAGCAGAGAGGAGACAAAGCAGCCGAGUGCUGCUGCUCAACUUUAAGUCAAGGGUUUUAUAAAGCUGGAGCUGUAAAAAUGGAGAGGACAUGGGUUUGUUAAGUUACAUUUUGGUUUGGCCAGCUAACAAACAAGGCAUCUUCACCACAGCAAAUACAGACAAAAUUAGUCCUAAGGAUUUCCCAGCAUCUUUUCUCUUUGUCACCGUCUUUGUUUGGAUCAAGUUCAUAAAUUAAAAAAAGCAGAAAGACUUCCUAGCAGAGAGAUUACACCAAAACAACAGGGCUUUAGCCAAAGCACUUUAUUAUUCUAUGACAAUGAUGGAUGAUCAGAAAUGUGUCCUGCUCAGCUGGGCUGACUCAUUUUUAAGGUGAUUACUGGGUUGUUAUUUCAAUACACCUGUGUGGGAAACUGAUAGCAAAAAUACAUCCUGGCUGCAGCACCUUAACUGUGUCAUGAGCCAUAAAACAGUUAUCACAAAAUGUCAAAAGAUGCUGGAAAAAAAGACUCUAAACAUCAUCCAGGAGCAGAGUGUCAUUAGUAAAAAACCUUACUCAUCUUUUCCAAAUAAGACAGAUCUUUUAAAAACACAGAGGAAUAUUUGAAAACUGGGCUGAUCACAGAGCAAAAUGUAGAUAAGUAAACAACAAUUGUUUAGAUAUGCAGGACAGAAAACAUGAUCUUAGCCACACAGAAACGAUAAUUGACCUGCCGGGCAUUAUUAUGAGAAUCAAAAGGUGUUUCUAGAGCUGGUUUGAACCAUUGACUAUAAUCUUUGUAACGUCACCCAUUUGUUUCUGAAGCAGUGUUUUGAAGACUAUCGGCAGUGGUUGCCACAUUGGAAAUGCUGAAUCAAUCAAGAGUCAGAGAGGUGGAAUUGAGGCGGAUCUUCAACCUCCUCGAAAAAAGCAACCAUGAAUUCAUCUGUCAGCAGCCUCUGAUUCCCCAAACUUGUAACCUCAAAAGCUCCAAAAUCAAAAUGUAUGUGUAAAUCCUCUCCCCUGUUAGAGAACCAAGUUAUGCGAUGCAAAACUAAGUUCUAAAAAUCAUUAUUUUUUAACAUCAGUUAUCUGACUGAUGCUUUCCAUAGAACUUUGCUCCAAUGUCUCUACACAUAGCAAGUUUAGGCCAUCGAUAAACUGCCAUAUUGAUAUUUUGUCCCACUCCUACAUGCAUCAUAGAAUGAUAAACCCAAAUGAAAAUAACAGAAAAGUACCAACAAGGCUGCAAUUUACCACACAGACACACUCGGCCAACAUGCACUACAAAUUAAAGAAAAUGGGAACAAAUAUGAACAUGAACACACUUCCUGUGGGGUUUAUCCUGGAUUAUCUAAGAUCCUAUUUCAGGAGAUGGACCUUUGCUUUGAGUGGUGUCUGACUCAGAAGAGAGCAGGUAUGACGUGCAGCACAGGGCCAUCCUCUGAUUGAUAAACCAUGUAUGUGUUUCCUCAGCUAACCCUACACGUGUACAUGUUUGAGUGUGUGUGUGUGUGUGUGUGUGUGUGUCUUGCGUGUCUUGCAUGUAAAAUAAAGACAUCAAGUCAAGAGUGUCUUUUCACUCUUGAGAGAGCUGGGUUUUUUUUUUUCCCCUCAGCUUCUUGUAGAUCACUCACACACAGAGACACACACACUUUUGACACUUGUGACUAGACAUGAACAAACCAAAUGCCAGAGGAGCAAUAAUUGGAACAGUCUUUUUGGUUUUAUUAUAUCAUUUUAAACAGGAUUCUCACAAGUAGGCGCCAACAUUAGAGAAAAGAGAAAAACAGGAGGAUGUUUUGGCCUGGGGGAAGAGUUUUGGAUCUUGAAAUUCUUGACAUUUAAGGGGUUGGAUCACAAGAAGCAGUCUGUGAAAGGAUUGUACAGACUUGGUGAGAUACAAAGGGAUUUUUUUGGCACACAACAGAAUGAUUGAAGGCACGCAAAACUCCUCCAGUCAUACAGAAGUCAAGAAAUGUAUUUUUGGUUUUGCCCCAUUCGAAAAAGCGGGUUACAUCAGGACAUACAGUAACUGAGCUGCAGGUAUUUACACCCUUACAUUCACCUAACACUCAUACACACACCAUCUACACACAUGUACAUAUACCUGUGCUCGUUUCACUGAGACUCCGGUAGCUCUCCACUGGACUCUUUUACCUCUAGAGCUGCUAUAAAUAGAAGUAUAUCACAUUGCAUCAAUCAAUCACAUUCAGCAUUUUCACUGGUUUGAUUUCGGCUAAAUUCUGAGAGUUUAUAGAACAAAUAAGAUUGGUAGUUUAGUGGCUACCAGAGUAACUCGAAGACUAGUAAACCAGUGACCUCAUGACACCCACCAGGGCAGAUACUGGGAGGCAGUGAGAUCAGAUGCUGAGGACAUCUCUCAUUUUUAUGUUCAUAUAGUUUGCUGUUACCAUCUUGAAAAGGGUAUUUACAAGACUCCACGUGGUACACUCCUAUUUUUAAAGGCUGUGGACUAUUAUCUGACAACAGUCAGAAAAACUGACAGGGAAACGUUAUAUCUUCACUCAGCAGCUGUUGUUGGUGAUCCUAUAAAGUAGGAUCCCCCAGAGGCUUCACUCAUGUGCUGAGAGCAGAUUGUGACUCGGCUCUAUAAAGGAAGCACAAAUGUGAGAGAGGAUGAAGCUUUGGCAUGAAAAACGGCAUAUAAUAUAUAGUUGACAAAAACUUAUGUAGUGUACCAUGUGGAGAACUCAUCCAAGUCAGGGCAACUUUAGCUCACCUUGACUGGCUAAUAUCUACCCAUUAUCUAUACCCCAAAUCCCAUCUGA